AUUGAACGCUGGCGGCAGGCCUAACACAUGCAAGUCGAGCGGAGGAAGGGAGCUUGCUCCUGGAAUCAGCGGCGGACGGGUGAGUAAUGCCUGGGAAUCCGCCUGGUAGUGGGGGAUAACGUCUCGAAAGGGACGCUAAUACCGCGUACGUCCUACGGGAGAAAGCAGGGGAUCUUCGGACCUUGCGCUAUCAGAUGCGCCCAGGCCGGAUUAGCUUGUUGGUGAGGUAAUGGCUCACCAAGGCGACGAUCCGUAGCUGGUCUGAGAGGAUGAUCAGCCACACUGGGACUGAGACACGGCCCAGACUCCUACGGGAGGCAGCAGUGGGGAAUAUUGGACAAUGGGCGAAAGCCUGAUCCAGCCAUGCCGCGUGUGUGAAGAAGGUCUUCGGAUUGUAAAGCACUUUAAGUUGGGAGGAAGGGGUUGAAGCUAAUACCUUCAAUCUUUGACGUUACCAACAGAAUAAGCACCGGCUAACUCUGUGCCAGCAGCCGCGGUAACAC
rnacentral:rRNA from 1 species